GACAAAAUAGAAAUAUGUAUAUUAAGAAAGAAACUGGAAUGGCUAUUGCCAAAAUACAAGAAAACUAGAGACCCUUGAAACUAGACUAGAAGCAAGAAAGGAGAUUGACAAGAGUGAAGAGGGCUUCACUCUUGCCUCUAUAUAUACUAUCUAACUAGAAGCCACGUGGCGAUGUUCUAUAAGACCUCCAAUAUAUGUUGACUUUCUAGGCCACAUGCCUUUGCUUGCAAGGCAAGUUUUCUAUAGAUGGACCACGUAGUUAGCUUGUUCUUUAAGCUUCCAACAUGCGCGGCACAUGGCUAACUUGUUGACCAAGUUUCUAACCUAAAAGUCAACUAUAGACUCCUAUAAAGUCAAAGCAGCGUCUAUGAAGCUUCUAAGAAGCUUCUCUAGAAGAUAUUACACAAUUGACCUACUUUUACAUACUUUUAUCUAUUCAUAUAGGUAAUUAUAUGUAUGUCCGUGAC
rnacentral:lncRNA from 1 species